rnacentral:rRNA from 1 species
CGCCUCUUGCAAAAGCAACAAAUAAGAGGUCCCGCCUGCCCUGUGACUAUAUGUUUAACGGCCGCGGUAUUUUGACCGUGCGAAGGUAGCGCAAUCACUUGUCUUUUAAAUGAAGACCCGUAUGAAUGGCACGACGAGGGCCUAACUGUCUCCUUUUUCAGGUCAAUGAAAUUGAUCUUCCCGUGCAGAAGCGGGAAUAACUACAUAAGACGAGAAGACCCUAUGGAGCUUCAGACACAAAGCAGCCCACGUUAAGAAACCCCAAACAAGGAACUAAACUAAGUGACGCCCUGCCAGAAUGUCUUUGGUUGGGGCGACCGCGGGGAAAGACUAAACCCCCAUGUGGAAAGGGAAGACUACCCUCCUACAGCCAAGAGCCACUGCUCUAAGUAACAGAAUUUCUGACCAACAUGAUCCGGCAACGCCGAUCAACGGACCGAGUUACCCUAGGGAUAACAGCGCAAUCCUCUUCCAGAGCCCAUAUCGACAAGAGGGUUUACGACCUCGAUGUUGGAUCAGGACAUCCUAAUGGUGCAGCCGCUAUUAAGGGUUCGUUUGUUCAACGAUUAAAGUCCU